AGUGAGACGGUGGGGGAUAAGCUCCAUCGUCGAGAGGGAAACAGCCCAGACCAUCAGCUAAGGUCCCCAAGUACGAGCUAAGUGAGAAAGGAGGUCGGCGCCCAGAGACAACCAGGAGGUUGGCUUAGAAGCAGCAAUCCUUCAAAGAGUGCGUAAUAGCUCACUGGUCGAGGGCGCAGGCGCCGAAAAUGAACGGGGCUAAGCUCGUCACCGAAGCUAUGGAGGCUUUGGCCUGGUAGGGGAGCGUUCCCAGAGGGGUGAAGCAGAAGCGGCAAGCCACUGUGGACUUCUGGGAAGUGAGAAUGUCGGCUUGAGUAGCGAAAAUUAGGGUGAGAAUCCCUAACCCCGUAAGCCCAAGGGUUCCUCCGCCAGGCUCGUCCACGGAGGGUUAGCCCGGACCUAAGGCAAAGCCGAAAGGCGUAGUCGAUGGCAAGCCGGUGAACAUUCCGGCGCGGCUUAGGUGGAGCUGUAGCGGGGACCCACCCAAGGGGACUAUCUCCGCCAGUGGCAAAGGAGAUAGAAACCGUAAGUGGCAAGAAAAGCCGCUGUAGCCAAGAAGCCUAAGUCCCGGUACCCGAAACCGACACAGGUGGGCGAGGCGAGUAGCCUCAGGGGCGCGAGGUAACUCUCUCCAAGGAACUCGGCAAAAUGACCCCGUAACUUCGGGAGAAGGGGUGCCCUCAGGGCCGCAGUGAAGAGUCCCGGGCGACUGUUUAGCAAAAACACAGGUCUCUGCUAACUCGUAAGAG
rnacentral:rRNA from 1 species